rnacentral:rRNA from 1 species
GUGGGGAAUUUUGGACAAUGGGGGCAACCCUGAUCCAGCCAUGCCGCGUGCGGGAAGAAGGCCUUCGGGUUGUAAACCGCUUUUGUCGGGGAAGAAACGGUCUGCGCUAAUACCGCGGACUAAUGACGGUACCCGAAGAAUAAGCACCGGCUAACUACGUGCCAGCAGCCGCGGUAAUACGUAGGGUGCAAGCGUUAAUCGGAAUUACUGGGCGUAAAGCGUGCGCAGGCGGCUUUGCAAGACAGAUGUGAAAUCCCCGGGCUCAACCUGGGAACUGCAUUUGUGACUGCAUGGCUGGAGUGCGGCAGAGGGGGAUGGAAUUCCGCGUGUAGCAGUGAAAUGCGUAGAUAUGCGGAGGAACACCGAUGGCGAAGGCAAUCCCCUGGGCCUGCACUGACGCUCAUGCACGAAAGCGUGGGGAGCAAACAGGAUUAGAAACCCCAGUAGUCC